UAGGGAAUCUUCCGCAAUGGGCGAAAGCUUGACGGAGCAACGCCGCGUGAGUGAUGAAGGUCUUCGGAUCAUAAAACUCUGUUAUUAGGGAAGAACAAAUGUGUAAGUAACUAUGCACGUCUUGACGGUACCUAAUCAGAAAGCCACGGCUAACUACGUGCCAGCAGCCGCGGUAAUACGUAGGUGGCAAGCGUUAUCCGGAAUUAUUGGGCGUAAAGCGCGCGUAGGCGGUUUUUUAAGUCUGAUGUGAAAGCCCACGGCUCAACCGUGGAGGGUCAUUGGAAACUGGAAAACUUGAGUGCAGAAGAGGAAAGUGGAAUUCCAUGUGUAGCAGUGAAAUGCGCAGAGAUAUGGAGGAACACCAGUGGCGAAGGCGACUUUCUGGUCUGUAACUGACGCUGAUGUGCGAAAGCGUGGGGAUCAAACAGG
rnacentral:rRNA from 1 species